rnacentral:tRNA from 4 species
CGGGGCGUAGCGCAGCCUGGUAGCGCGUAGCGUUCGGGACGCUAAGGUCGGAGGUUCAAAUCCUCUCGCCCCGACCA